rnacentral:rRNA from 1 species
CUGGCGACCGGCGCACGGGUGAGUAACACGUAUGGAACCUCGCCCGCAGCAGGGGGAUAAGCGGAAGAAAUUCCGUCUAAUACCGCGUAACAACGUUGGGAGGCAUCUCCCGAUGUUUAAAGAUUUAUCGGCUGCGGAUGGCCAUGCGGCGCAUUAGCUAGUCGGCGGGGUAACGGCCCACCGAGGCGACGAUGCGUAGGGGUUCUGAGAGGAAGGUCCCCCACACUGGUACUGAGACACGGACCAGACUCCUACGGAAGGCAGCAG